AUAUUUUAAUUAUAUUUUGAGCCUAAUUGUGAAAAUUAUGUUUGUUUUAAUUUAGGAGGUGAAAUAUGGAUGCAAUGGUGAAAAUCAGCUUAAAAGCAUGUUUUUAGCCUUCUAUGUGAGAAUCAAGUCUUUUGGAAGAAUGUGGAAUUGGACAGAAGACCAUAUUCAACAAGGCGUGACCACGCCUUGUGACUGACAU